rnacentral:tRNA from 1 species
GGACGCGUAGCUCAGCGGUAGAGCACCCGGCUGAUAACCGGGAGGCCGCAGGUUCGAUCCCUGCCGCAUCCACCA